AUUGAACGCUGGCGGCAGGCCUAACACAUGCAAGUCGAGCGGAGCGGGGACGGGUGAGUAACUCGUGGGUAACCUCCCAUCAGAGGGGAUAACACUUGGAAACAGGUGCUAAACCGAUAUUGAUGGCUGGACCCGCGGUGCAUUAGCUAGUUGGUGAGGUAACGGCUCACCAAGGCCACGAUGCAUAGCCGACCUGAGAGGGUGAUCGGCCACACUGUGACUGAGACACGGCCCAGACUCCUACGGGGGGCAGCAGUAGGGAAUCUUCGGCAAUGGACGAAAGUCUGACCGAGAAAAGCCGCGUGAGUGAAGAAGGUUUGCGGAUCGUAAAACUCUGUUGUUAGAGAAGCGGUAUCUAACCAGAAAGCCACGGCUAACUACGUGCCAGCAGCCGCGGUAAUAC
rnacentral:rRNA from 1 species